GGCAGGGCCGGGGGAGAGACCCAGCUCCAAAUCAGGCCCCUGAAGCUUGCUUGUAAAUAACUGUACAAGGCCUGGUGGGAAUGGAAUGUCCUGCCCAGCUCUAACAGCUUAAAAUGUAGGCUUCACAAAACAGGAACAUCAGAAAAAAAAUUGACUUAAAUAACAUUCAAUUGUGGCAGAGUCGCAUUUUUGGUAAAUUGUCACAGCUGCAUUGAGUUCCUGCCAAUUGAUACCAGCUGAAGACCUGGCCCAUUGAACUGAAGUGCAGGGAAGGAAGUUUGACAUGUUUUGUUUUCAUAGUAUUUGUUCUGUUCUUGUUCAGAGAUGGGUCCAACUCUAACACUGGAUGUGAAACUACGCUCUCCUCCCAAGGAGUCCAGCUCUGGACCCACACUCCACAAUAACUAAAAUAAUAAUACUGGUUUUUAAAAGAAUCCAAAGUACCAACCUCGGACAGGGGGGCAAUUUCUCCUUCUCCUUUGCAUACAAACCUGUGGAAGAUCCAUCCUGCUACCAACAUGAUAAACUGAGGCUGUUUAAAAUUGGUACCGAGUAGAUGCAAAUCUAUAUUUUCAGAUUUUUGUAAUGACAGAAUUUCCUAUGUAAAAAUAACAUUUCCAACAGUUUGCUUCCAAAGGCAAGACAGGGAUUCUAUUGGAGUUAUACACAUGAUAGUUUAAGAGCCAAACUGUGCAUCGUCUUACCCAGACAAAACUCCCAUUGCCUUCAAUAAAAACUUUGCCUGAGUAAAGAAUGCAGGAUUUGGCUGUAAAUAAGGCCCAAUUGUGCAAAGUGCUGGUUUGCACCUUUACUGUACUAAUUAAUGUCUAUUGCCUUACUUGGGUUAUAUAACAAACAUCCUGCAACUAAAGUUGACCUUCUUCUAUACCUCCAACUAUAGAUUGCUGCCAGAUCCAUUAUUCCAAUCCAAUAGUGGAAGUCUAUCAACUCUCUUUUGGGUUUGGCAAAGUGUGAGAGAUUGUUGUAAUGGAAAAAAACUUACUAAUGUAAAAUACAGAAAAAAUAUCUGUUGGUCUUAUCAAAUAUGAUGGUUCUAAUAUAUAAGCAGCCAAACUACCUAGCAUAUAGAAAACUAGAUUUGUAGGACUGGAAGGGACCACAAGAGGUCAUCUAGUCCAGUCCCCUGCACUCAUGGCAGGACAAAAUAUUAUCAGAUCAUCCCUGGCAGGUGUUUGUCUAACCUGCUUUUAAA